GUAUGGGGUAGUACGAGAGGAACUCCCAUGCCGUGCCUCUGGUUUCUGGAGUUUGUCGAACGGCAAGUGCUCCGACGCCAUCGCGCGGUGGUUCUCGGCUGAACGCCUCUAAGCCAGNNNNNN
rnacentral:ncRNA from 1 species